ensembl:lncRNA
CUUCCAUCCAUUUCAAUGCGGAUAUGCGCUUUGCUGGAAGAAAAAAACCAUGUCGGACCUCGCAACAGUAACUAAGGGGUGCGGCUUGAUAAUGUCUCUAUUAUGACGUCACAAAGCAUGCAUUUAAAAAAUAGAGUCUUGUGUAUUUUGGUUCAGUCAUCGAUAUGGAUGUGUAUCAAGAAGUAGGUGUACCGGAGUUUGGUGCUCCUUGGCCCGCCAUGACGAUGCCCGAACAAGGAGUGAUUGGCCAAUUUACCAUUUUCUUCGCGCUUUUUCUUGGAGGACUAAAGGAUUUUCUCUUCUCUCUAGAAGAGGAAUGGUUUGGAGCAACCCAUCCUGGAGUGGGAUGGGAGCUCACUCUCCCUGCUGCCCUGGUUGUUUUUGGUGUGAUAUUACUAUGGAGGACCGUCCUUGCGAUCAAAAGCAGGAUACGUCUAUUGACUGAGACACAGCUAAACGUGAAACUCGCCCAGCUAUCGAAAAACAAAUGUGACAUAAUGAUUCAAUUGUCUGAAAUGGAGAUACUGUUGAAGGACUAUGACGCACCAGUGAAAAGGUUGCGGGCAUGCCUGCAGUCCUCUCAAGAGGAUAGUCAGGAGCUGGA